UGGGGAAUAUUGGACAAUGGGCGAAAGCCUGAUCCAGCCAUGCCGCGUGUGUGAAGAAGGCCUUAUGGUUGUAAAGCACUUUAAGCGAGGAGGAGGGUACUGGUAUUAAUACUACCAGCUACUGGACGUUACUCGCAGAAUAAGCACCGGCUAACUCUGUGCCAGCAGCCGCGGUAAUACAGAGGGUGCGAGCGUUAAUCGGAUUUACUGGGCGUAAAGCGUGCGUAGGCGGCUAAUUGAGUCGGAUGUGAAAUCCCCGAGCUUAACUUGGGAAUUGCAUUCGAUACUGGUUAGCUAGAGUGUGGGAGAGGAUGGUAGAAUUCCAGGUGUAGCGGUGAAAUGCGUAGAGAUCUGGAGGAAUACCGAUGGCGAAGGCAGCCAUCUGGCCUAACACUGACGCUGAGGUACGAAAGCGUGGGGAGCAAACAGG
rnacentral:rRNA from 1 species